GCCGCCUCGGCGGCGGCUACGGUUUGAAAGUCCACGCCGCCUCUGGCUCGCUUGGUGCAGGUCGGGAACGCCUCGAUCCGGGUCUGAGGGGCCGCUUACCGCCUUGCACCAACUGAAUCGGAGGCGGAAAUCGAUGGUCUCCCCUUUUAGCGCGGCUCCCGGCUGCUGGGUCUCGACGCUUGGAGCAAACACUUGUGCAGAGCGCAGAAAGCAUGCUGUUCACAAACAACUCGGCUCAUGUCAGUCCACAGAUUGUUCAAGAUCAGAUCUAUUUGAUCCAUGAAAACCAAGCUCGAAUUCAAUUUCAAACCAAACCUAACUGGAUAAGGAUUGCUCGAUUGCGGAAUUUAACACAGAGGCAGCGCAUGUUAACCGAGGAGUCCGCAAAGGAUGAACAAUGAGAUGAUGAAAAGGGAGCCCCAGUUGUAGGAGCAUCAGGAUGAGUUAUUCCCAAGCUUCCGAAACAUUUUCAGGCUCAAACCACUUGGUUUAGAUCUUCAAUGUAGACAAGGUUUUGUAUACAAUCAUAGGAUCCUUAAUCACUAAGCAGUACAUCAUAAUGUAAUCAAGGCACACAGUUUUGAUACUAUAUUGACUUCAGAGCAACAAGUCUUGGUGUUUGUCCAUUGUUGCCUGAUAGAUUUAUUUGUUUCUAUAAUGUGAAGCAGAAGAGUUACCAGUGCUCAGUGCAUGUUGGAUGGUGGCCAGUGGCAACUGGGAGAGGGAUUUUAU